rnacentral:ncRNA from 1 species
CGCUCAAGUCGUCGGGGACUCACCGGCAGGGCUUGAGGGAUACCCCGAACUGUGGGCUAGGUCUGAGAUACGGGGUAGGGUGGCGAAGGCAGCGCCCUUGACCGAACGGCUACCGGGU